CCACAGCUACUGGAGGGAGCGGGGGCUGAGACUCUAACCAGGCUCAGACCCCAAAUGGCGCAGUGGGAGAUGCUGCAGAAUCUUGACAGCCCAUUUCAGGAUCAGCUGCACCAGCUCUAUUCAAAUAGCCUCCUGCCGGUGGACAUUCGACAGUACUUGUCUGUCUGGAUUGAAGAUCAGAACUGGCAGGAAGCUGCACUGGGCAAUGAUGAGGCCAAGGCUAAUAUGCUAUUCUUCCACUUCUUGGACCAACUGAACUAUGAGUGUAGCCGCUGCAGCCAGGACCCUGAGUGUUUGUUGCUACAGCACAACUUGCGAAAAUUCUAUCGGGACAUUCAGGCCUUUCCCCAGGGUGCUACCCAAUUGGCUGAGAUGAUCUUUAAUCUCCUUCUGGAAGAAAAAAGAAUUCUGACCCAGGCUCAGAGGGCUCAGUCGGAGCAAGGAGAACCAGCCCUUGCAGCACCUGGGGAGAGCCAGCAGCCUGAGAUUGAAUCCCGGAUCCUGGAAUUAAAGGCUAUGAUGGAGAAGCUGGUGAAAUCCAUCAGCCAACUGAAAGACCAGCAGGAUGUCUUCUGCUUCCGAUAUAAGAUCCAGACCUCAGCAAGGACACCCUCUUUGGACCCUCAUCAGACCAGACAGCAGGACAUUCUGCAGGAAACGCUCAAUGAACUGGACAGAAGGAGAAAGGAGGUGCUAGAUGCCUCCAAAGCACUGCUAGGCCGAUUAACUACCCUAAUUGAGCUACUGCUGCCCAAGUUGGAGGAGUGGAAAGUUCAGCAGCAGAAAGCCUGCAUUGGAGGCCCCCCGGAUGGAGGGUUGGAGCAGUUGGAGAAGUGGUUCACAGCUGGAUCAAAGCUGUUGUUUCAUCUGCGGCAGCUGCUGAAGGAGCUAAAGGGAUUGAGUCACAUGGUCACCUAUCAGGGGGACCCUCUGAUCGAAGGGGUGGAUCUGCGGAAGGCCCAGGUCACAGAGCUGCUACAUCGCCUGCUCCACAGAGCCUUUGUAGUAGAAACCCAGCCCUGCAUGCCCCAAACUCCCCAUCGACCCCUCAUCCUCAAGACUGGGAGCAAGUUCACCGUCCGAACAAGGCUGCUGGUGAGACUCCAGGAAGGCAAUGAGUCACUGACUGCAGAAGUCUCCAUUGAUAGAAAUCCUCCUGAAUCACAAGGCUUCCGGAAGUUCAACAUUCUGACUUCAAACCGGAAAACUUUGACUCCUGAGAAAGGGCAGAGUCAGGGCUUAAUUUGGGACUUCGGCUACCUGACACUGAUGGAGCAGCGUUCAGGUAGUUCAGGAAAGGGCAGCAAUAAGGGGCUGCUAGCCGUGACAGAGGAACUGCACAUUAUCAGCUUCACAGUCAGAUACACCUACCAGGGUCUGAAGCAGGAACUGAAAACAGACACCCUUCCUGUGGUGAUUAUUUCUAACAUGAACCAACUCUCAGUUGCCUGGGCCUCGGUUCUCUGGUUCAAUCUGCUCAGCUCAGACCCCCAGAAUCAGCAGUUCUUCUCCAGCCCCGCCAAGGCCCCCUGGGACUUGCUGGGUCCUGCUCUCAGUUGGCAGUUCUCCUCCUACGUUGGCCGAGGCCUCGACUCAGACCAGCUUGGCAUGCUGCGGGACAAGCUGUUUGGGCAGAACUCCAAGACUGAGGGUGCCUUGUUGUCCUGGGUCAAUUUCAUUAAGCGAGAGAGCCCCCCCGGCAAGCUACCAUUCUGGACAUGGCUCGACAGAAUUCUGGACCUGGUACAUGACCACCUGAAGGAUCUCUGGAACGAUGGACACAUCAUGGGCUUUGUAAGCCGGAGCCAGGAGCGCCGGCUGCUGAAGAAGACCAUCUCUGGCACCUUUCUGCUGCGCUUCAGUGAAACGUUGGAAGGGGGCAUUACCUGCUCCUGGGUGGAACACCAAGAUGAUGAUAAGGUGCUCAUCUACUCUGUGCAGCCCUUCACCAAGGAGGUGCUGCAGUCACUCCCGCUGACGAAAAUCAUCAGCCAGUAUCAGCUGCUCACUGAGGAGAACAUACCUGAGAACCCACUGUGCUUCCUCUACCCACGAAUCCCCCGGGAUGAGGCUUUUGGGUGCUACUCCCAGGAGAAAGUUAAUCUCCAGGAACGGAAGAAAUACCUGAAACAUAAGCUCAUUGUGGUCUCUAACAGACAGGUGGAUGAGCUGCAACAACUGCCAGAGCUUAAGCUGGAGCCAGAACUGGAGUCAUUCGAGCUGGAUCUGGGGCUGGCACCAGGGCCAGAGCCAGGGCCGGGCCUGGACUUAGAGCCACUGCUGGAGGCAGGGCUGGAUUUGGGGCCAGCACUGGACCCACACUGGAGUCCACUCUGGAGCCCGUGCUGGAGCCCACACUAGGCGAGGUGUCACAGAGAGUCUCAGAGCCAAACCUGGGACCAGGACUGAAGCUGGAGCCUAUUCCAGAGCCUAUUUCACAGCCACUGCCAGAGCCGGAUUUGCCCCAUGAUCUGAGACACUUGAACAUUGAGGACAUGGAAGUCUUCAGAAACAGCAUGAAGAUUGAAGAAAUCAUGCCAAAUGGUGACCCACUGUUGGCUGGCCAAAACACCGUGGAUGAAGCUUACGUCUUCCCUCGCAGCCAUUUCUACACAGAUGGGCCCUUGAUUCCUUCUGACUACUAGAAACUACAUUUUCUCUGUUCUUUCCAUAUAUUUUGCCCCUCCUACCUCUCACAUCAUGAUGUUGCUCUCCAAGGA